CAUUCAGGAAUGACCCCGUGAGAUUUGAUUCAGAGGUUCAUCUACAUAAUGAGGCAGGAGGAUAUGCAGAGUGGAAUUCAUCAUCAGUUUCAUCCUCUUCUACGGAUAAGUUUGGUUUCUCUUCUUUUCCUGUUGAGAGAGAACCUUACAUCCCAAAGUUUGUUGAAGUUAACUAUACUGAAGGUUCAAAUGACAAGAAGUGGAGGGAUGGUCCUUUCCCGUGGACUAAAGAACUGGAGGCUAAUAAUAAGAGAGUGUUUGGUAACCACUCUUUCCGCCUCAACCAAAGAGAGGUCAUUAAUGCUACAAUGAGUGGCCAUGAUGUUUUCGUUUUAAUGCCAAUUGGAGGGGGUAAGAGCCUGACAUAUCAGGUACUUGAAUCUUUUUCUCACGACUCUUUUGACUUGUUUCAGGCAAAUAUUCCUGCUGCUUACCUAAGUGCCAAUAUGGAGUGGAGUGAACAACAGGAGAUUCUUAGAGCACCGAGUUCUGAAUAUUAUAAAUACAAGCUGUUAUAUGUCACCCCUGAAAAAGUUGCCAAAGUGAUCCUGAGUUAAAUGUUGACCAGUUGGAUAGUGCACUAAAAGACAAUGUGGCAGCUGAAACUGAUGCUCCUGCUGAAUAUAGUGAAAAGGAGGCAUUUGAUGAUCAUCAGUACAAUGGUAAAGAACCAAUCAUCUGUUAGGUUAGUCAUCACUGUAACUAGGCUUUUGUUUUUAAACUGUACACAAGUUUCAGUCUUUCAGAUGUUUUGCAUUGUGGAAAGGGAAAAUCUGUAAGCAACGCCUUUGAAUUGUACAUGAAUUGUAAAGACUUCGAAGCCUUUAUUUCAUCUUAAGAAUAUAA